CCUUAGCCGAAACUAAACAAGAGAAAAAGAAAGAAAACAUAGUUAUAUUCGGCAAUAUUGAAGCUUAAUUGAGAUCGAGAAACGAAGAAAACGGAUUUGGAUCGGGGAAAAACGAAAGUAGUUGAAUAGUCGAUCGUGUCCGCUGAUAUCCGAGGUUAGGGGUGUUACAGGGGUAGUCUAUGUCCACAACUAGCUUUACAAAUGCGGUGUUGAUAAGUGAUAGGAGCUCAUAACAUUGUUGAAUCCAUAAGAAGGACGAGAUUUCUAAUCCAGGUUUUAAAUUCAAGGCAAUUGGAAACAUCAGAUCGAAAAGCCCGUACAGCAGCUGACAAAACAUCUGCCUCUGAUUGUUGGCGGUGGUUCUUAGAGGUGCUCAUGGGCCGGGCGGCUCGGCCCGGCCCGACGGCCCGCCCGAAAUAUGGGAGGGUUUGGGUAAAAAUAUAGGCCCGAAAUAUGGGCUUGGGCAA